GCCCAGACUCCUACGGGAGGCAGCAGUAGGGAAUCUUCGGCAAUGGGGGGAACCCUGACCGAGCAACGCCGCGUGAGUGAAGAAGGUUUUCGGAUCGUAAAGCUCUGUUGUAAGAGAAGAACGUGUGUGAGAGUGGAAAGUUCACACAGUGACGGUAUCUUACCAGAAAGGGACGGCUAACUACGUGCCAGCAGCCGCGGUAAUACGUAGGUCCCGAGCGUUGUCCGGAUUUAUUGGGCGUAAAGCGAGCGCAGGCGGUUUGAUAAGUCUGAAGUAAAAGGCUGUGGCUUAACCAUAGUACGCUUUGGAAACUGUCAAACUUGAGUGCAGAAGGGGAGAGUGGAAUUCCAUGUGUAGCGGUGAAAUGCGUAGAUAUAUGGAGGAACACCGGUGGCGAAAGCGGCUCUCUGGUCUGUAACUGACGCUGAGGCUCGAAAGCGUGGGGAGCGAACAGGAUUAGAUACCCUGGUAGUCCACGCCGUAAACGAUGAGUGCUAGGUGUUGGGUCCUUUCCGGGACUCAGUGCCGCAGCUAACGCAUUAAGCACUCCGCCUGGGGAGUACGACCGCAAGGUUGAAACUCAAAGGAAUUGACGGGGGCCCGCACAAGCGGUGGAGCAUGUGGUUUAAUUCGAAGCAACGCGAAGAACCUUACCAGGUCUUGACAUCCCGAUGACCGCCCUAGAGAUAGGGUUUCUCUUCGGAGCAUCGGUGACAGGUGGUGCAUGGUUGUCGUCAGCUCGUGUCGUGAGAUGUUGGGUUAAGUCCCGCAACGAGCGCAACCCCUAUUGUUAGUUGCCAUCAUUCAGUUGGGCACUCUAGCGAGACUGCCGGUAAUAAACCGGAGGAAGGUGGGGAUGACGUCAAAUCAUCAUGCCCCUUAUGACCUGGGCUACACACGUGCUACAAUGGCUGGUACAACGAGUUGCAAGUCGGUGACGGCAAGCUAAUCUCUUAAAGCCAGUCUCAGUUCGGAUUGUAGGCUGCAACUCGCCUAC
rnacentral:rRNA from 1 species